rnacentral:rRNA from 1 species
CUACGGGGCGCUGCAGGCGAGAAAACUUUGCAAUGUGCGAAAGCACGACAAGGUUAAUCCGAGUGGUUUGUGCUAAACGAACCUUUUGACAGUCCUAGAAACACUGUUGAAUAAGGGGUGGGCAAGUUCUGGUGUCAGCCGCCGCGGUAAAACCAGCACCUCAAGUGGUCAGGAUGAUUAUUGGGCCUAAAGCAUCCGUAGCCGGCUCUGUAAGUUUUCGGUUAAAUCUAUACGCUCAACGUACAGGCUGCCGGGAAUACUGCAGAGCUAGGGAGUGGGAGAGGUAGACGGUACUCGGUAGGAAGGGGUAAAAUCCUUUGAUCUAUUGAUGACCAUCUGUGGCGAAGGCGGUCUACCAGAACACGUCCGACGGUGAGGGAUGAAAGCUGGGGGAGCAAACCGGAUUAGAUACCCGGGUAGUC